ACCUCCCCCAAUCUCCUCACUGCACUGUCAUGUGUCCUCCAGUUGACCAUCCCAAUGCCUCUGAUCGCACAGUUCGAUCCAUCCGAUAGAUAUACAAUGCUCUCACUGUUUUCUAGGAAGUCAAACUGCUCCUCUCUGCAACAUACAUAAUAGGGGCAUGCAGAAUCUAAUGUUCACUGCUGGAAAGAAGUAGAUACCUCAUCAAAUAUCUUCAGGACAUCUCCAUCUGAAUCACUGCCGGUCGUCGCUACAGUAGCCAUCGUCCGAUUUUUGAGUUGAGGGC
rnacentral:lncRNA from 1 species